rnacentral:lncRNA from 1 species
AAACUGUGAAGAAGAGGGAAGAACUCAGAACUUAGUGCACUCUUAUGUUUAACUUUUGGCCAAUCCCAUUCCUUUUUUUUUUCUUUCUCUCUAGUUUUACACAAUGUCAGGUCUUUCUUUCAACUCUUUUGCAUUUUUUUUUCCUUUUUUUUUCUUUCUCUCUAGUUUUACACAAUGUCAGGUCUUUCUUUCAACUCUUUUGCAUUUUUUUUUCAGAUCUGCUCUUUCCUUUUACACACAACCAGAUUUCUCAACUGAUUUUCCUUUUCUUUUUUUUUUCUUCUGGCCUUCUUUUAUAUUGCACUCACCAAGUUCCAAGAUCCUCCAUCCCUUUCACAUGUCUCUACAGGUUAGGUAUUUGGUAGGAAAAAUGGCUUGUACUGAAUGGAAACAAAGAAAAUGGCCAAGGCUCAAAGUUAGGGUACAAUGGUCAGAAAUGAAAUGGUAAAACUAAACGGUUAUGGAUGGUAAGAAAGAAUGCCUAAAUCAUGUCUAAAGUCCACCAAGAGCAAGCUUUUNACAAAGAAUCAAUGCAAAAUCAGAAUGAAAAUCAAACAUGCAUGAAAUCACACUAGAAAGAAAAAAAUUGGCCCAAAAUCUCUCCGGGUUAAUAAAUUUCCAAAACUGACUUGUUACCUUCUUUUAUGGCAAAAUGCUUAAUUGAACUGAACUAAGAUGCAAAAAGCAAAGCUAGGACUACUUCUACUUAAAUCUAAAGCAAAGAAUUACAUCAAUAGUUCUAAUUAAGAGAAAUAAAACUGUGAAAUGAAGUAAAUCAGCAAAGAAUUGAGCAAGGAAUGAAAUAGAACUCAAAAAGAACCUAGAAUUACCCAACAGUACGACUUAAAACUAUUUACAACCUACAAAAGCUAAAACUGGACAGUAUGUAACUAAGAAAACCUAACUAAACUCAAUUAGCUAAAACAGUUCCUAAACCAAAGUUGUACUAGGAAAAGAAGAAAAUCAAAGAAAUAAUUAUGAACCUAGCUAGACUAAAACAAAUUUAUGUUCAAAAGAAAGAAAGCCUAAGAUAAUCCUAAACCGUAACAAUGAAUGGAAAAGAACCUAGGAGGCUAUUUCUAAAAAUCAAAACACAAUGUUCAGAACAAAAUUUAUUAUGAAAACUAAAUCAAGAAAAUGAAAUCAGAGAAGUAAACAAAUCCUAUAAAAGAAAAAAUUCUAAAGUAAAUGCAAAUGUACAAAGGCUAAAACAUAAUGUCAAAACUAAGACAAUUACUAAUAUUUAAAACAAGAAAUAAGAAAGCUAAAAUAAGACUACUGAUCCGUGAAACAGAACUCAAAGAAGCUAAAAUAGGAUCAGGGAUAAAAGAAAAUUUUUUACAAACAACUAGGAUUCUAAAAAAAACAAAGUUUAGUCUACAACCUAAAACAGAUUAUACAAGCAUCAAAAACUCAGUAUUUACAAACUAGAAGUAAGUAUUUAAAAACUGAAACAAAAUUGUAAUCAGCUCAAAGAAGAAAAAAAAAAUUUACUCAUAUUUUAACUACAAAACUCAUACUGUCACAUGCAUAUUAAAGAAAAAAAACAACAUUUACACUAAACCUUCUCACCCCCACACUUAAGAGGCACAUUGUCCUCAAUGUGUGAGUAAGAAAGGUUCCUAAACAAUACAGGUAUACACAGUUAUUUACAGCAUAUGAAUCAGAAUGAAAUCAGCAUAGAAAUCAGAAUUAUACAAAAAUUGGAAUUGAGAAAACAUAGAUUGAACAAGAUAUGUACAGAACAGAAUUAGGAAAAACACAAAAAACUAAAACUACAAAACUAAAAGAAAAGGAAAGUUGUUUAGAUUGGCCACAAGUCAAAAUUUAUUUUCUUUAUUUUUAUAAAAAACAACAUAUGUUCUACUUUACUAUUUAUUAUACUACCUAAGAUUAUNNN